rnacentral:lncRNA from 1 species
AAUACAAAGAUAGCUGAUUUGAUUCCGUUCCUACUUGUCAAAUACAGGAGGAAGCAGCUGACACCCAUGGCAGAGAAUAUGGUCAUCUAAGAUUACGAUGAACACUGCCCUGUGAGCUUUACUAAGUCCAUUGACUGCACAAGGCUGAUGUUUGGCCUUGGCAUAAUGAAAAGGAAUCCCCUUUGUUAAUGCUACUCAUUUGUCCCUGCACUGGGGAUCACCUGUGGUGGGAUGCAGCAUGGUGUUCCAGGCACAUCCAAGACAGGUCUUGUAAUCAUCGUGCUAUGCAUCAUCUUCAUAGAGGACUAUUUUGUCAGUGAGGAGGACUUGUGGCACAUAUUGAACAACAUGGAGUUGUAUGCAGGGAGGGAUCAUAUCAUGCAUGCUAGGACAGAAGCCUCAUUAGUGAACAUUUUGUGCAAGAAGGGUUCCUGGAAUGCAGGCAGGUGCUAGACAGAGUUCACUCUCGCCAGGAGCUUCUGUGGGGGCCCCAAGGCACAUGCAGAAACCAUGAAGGUGAAAAUA